AUUGAACGCUGGCGGCAGGCCUAACACAUGCAAGUCGAGCGGCAGCGGAAAGUAGCUUGCUACUUUGCCGGCGAGCGGCGGACGGGUGAGUAAUGUCUGGGAAACUGCCUGAUGGAGGGGGAUAACUACUGGAAACGGUAGCUAAUACCGCAUAACGUCGCAAGACCAAAGAGGGGGACCUUCGGGCCUCUUGCCAUCAGAUGUGCCCAGAUGGGAUUAGCUAGUAGGUGGGGUAACGGCUCACCUAGGCGACGAUCCCUAGCUGGUCUGAGGGGAUGACCAGCCACACUGGAACUGAGACACGGUCCAGACUCCUACGGGAGGCAGCAGUGGGGAAUAUUGCACAAUGGGCGCAAGCCUGAUGCAGCCAUGCCGCGUGUAUGAAGAAGGCCUUCGGGUUGUAAAGUACUUUCAGCGGGGAGGAAGGUGUUGAGGUUAAUAACCUCAGCAAUUGACGUUACCCGCAGAAGAAGCACCGGCUAACUCCGUG
rnacentral:rRNA from 1 species